UACGUAGGCAGCGAGCGUUGUUCGGAGUUACUGGGCGUAAAGGGUGUGUAGGCGGUUCUUUUAAGUUUAGUGUGAAAUCUCCCGGCUCAACCGGGAGGGUGCGCUGAAUACUGAGGGACGUAGAGUACGGGAGAGGAAAGUGGAAUUCCUGGUGUAGCGGUGAAAUGCGUAGAUAUCAGGAGGAACACCGGUGGUGUAGACGGCUUUCUGGACCGUAACUGACGCUGAGACACGAAAGCGUGGGUAGCAAACAGG
rnacentral:rRNA from 1 species